rnacentral:rRNA from 1 species
UACGUAGGGUGCAAGCGUUAAUCGGAAUUACUGGGCGUAAAGCGUGCGCAGGCGGUUGUGUAAGUCAGAUGUGAAAUCCCCGGGCUCAACCUGGGAAUUGCAUUUGAGACUGCACGGCUAGAGUGUGUCAGAGGGGGGUAGAAUUCCACGUGUAGCAGUGAAAUGCGUAGAGAUGUGGAGGAAUACCGAUGGCGAAGGCAGCCCCCCUGGGAUAACACUGACGCUCAUGCACGAAAGCGUGGGGGAGCAAACAGG